AUCAAAUGUGUCUUGGGGUUGUGGGGUGCGUCGGAAACAUUGCAGGCGUGUUGCACUGUGCGGUAGUGUGUCACAACUUCCUUUUGUGCGAAGCAUCCAGAUCAAGAGGAUCAGAAGAGCAGACAAGGCCCUUGUAGACAACCCCAAGUUGAUUGUCAUGU